AUCAGAGACUCUCUAAGUCAUCAUUCUAUGAGACCACAUAGGAUGUUCUCUCUUUUUACAAGGAGUGACUAAUUUUUUGUUGACCAUUCACAAUCUCCAUACAUACUUCAUCAAAUUUAGAACAUCCCACAUAUGUCUCAAAGAGUCAUAUUAGAGUAUGAACCAAAAUAGGGAACCAUAUACAUAAGGCAUUAUGAUAAUC
rnacentral:lncRNA from 1 species